rnacentral:rRNA from 1 species
UACGAAGGGGGCUAGCGUUGCUCGGAAUCACUGGGCGUAAAGGGUGCGUAGGCGGGUUUUUAAGUCAGAGGUGAAAUCCCGGAGCUCAACUCCGGAACUGCCUUUGAUACUGGUCGUCUAGAGAUCGGAAGAGGUGAGUGGAAUUCCCAGUGUAGAGGUGAAAUUCGUAGAUAUUGGGAAGAACACCAGUGGCGAAGGCGGCUCACUGGUCCGAUACUGACGCUGAGGUGCGAAAGCGUGGGGAGCAAACAGG